CAGAUAUAUGUGCAUAAGGAGUCGAGUUUACGAAAAUCCCGUAAAAAACUUUGUACCUAAAUGCUCUUGAUGAUGUCCAUAUACGUAAAGUGUAGCAUUUACAUGGCCAUGUUGACUAUUAUUCAUUCAGUUUUAAAGAUUAUGGGAUUUGUUUAAUCUGAACCACUGCCUACAUGUACUGGGCAUACACAUAAUCCAAUUUUUAUCGCGUGCACUGCGUACUAUUAAAUAAUUACGCCCGAGUUGUGGUAAGGUUAAGGUGACUUUAAUCGUUAGUUAUGAAACAGUGGCACCUCAUUCAAGCUGAGUUGAACAUUUAUAAACAUUUAUGUCCCACAUAAUUAAUUAUGGAUAACAUGCGUGCAAAACGUGGGCUCUAUUAACGGAAAUUUUUCAAGUGGCAUACGCGAAAUCGUCGAAUUCAAUUCGCAUUCAUUCCUCGUAUCAUGUGAUGAGGAUAGAAUUUUAUUUGCAUAUAUGUCUGGCAAUGCACAAAAUAAUAAAAAUAAAAAUAUUGUGCACAUAGAUUGCCUUGCGAGGAGAAGUGAGAUUUUAAAUUAAAUCUGUCAUCACAUUGCUGGCAUUUAGUUUUCUCCAUUGUCAAGAAAGACAAUACUUUAGAGUCCCAAGUCAACCGAUUCAGCUUUGCACCGAGGGUCAAGUUUUUCUCUGCUUAUGUCUGCAUGCUAAGCAUGCAAGAUAUGAAUUGCCAAUAAAGUCAAAAAGCACGGAAUUGUCAACUUUGCCAAUUAUGAGGAGAAUGGAAUCCAGCAUGAUAAAUGACGGAAUUCGGGUGAAAGAACUUUGGCAGACGAAGAAGUUCAUUUCUUGAUUUUCUCCGCGCACCAAUGUUCCCUACAAUUUCAUAAAUAAAAAUGUCGGUAAAUGACGUUCAGUUUACUUCCGAUUCCAGAGCUGUUCAUAUCUCAAGUUGAGUUCCUUGAUUUGUAGUCAAGUUAUGCCAAUAUCAUCUGAACGGAGAUCUGGAUUUGGCUUAAGCAAAUGGGAACGAAAUUAUCUCAAAUGCCGCUACAAGGCACAUCGAAAUAAGAUCGGGGUCGCCAAAGCAGCCGUUGAUUCUAAAGCACCACCAGUGCGACCCCAUGUGCAGUUUAAGGAGAAGAAGGCAUUAAUGGAACAAAGACGCCAAAUUAUUGUAAUGCAAGAAAAUUUUCGGGUUCUUAACCGGACUGCUGAAAUAAUGAACUGCAGUGACCCGGUUUAUUCCAAUAGCCUGGUGUCGUCUAAAAGCACCAAAAACAAGGAAUUGACCUCGGUCACGAAGAAAAAUAUCCAUGUCAUUUUUCAGUGGUUUAUUCACAAGUUUGGAAAAUACGUACCGUGGUGGGCUCAUAUUAAUUAUUAGGAUGCAUAUUACAGUAAUUACAUAUUAACACAACUAAAAGUGUGCAGAACAAGAAUAAUGUAACGCAUAGAUUGGAAUACUUUACUGCCAUUAUUAUACAUUUGUAAAAAAACGGAUUGAAGAAAUUUAAUAAAUGCUAGAUUAUCGCAUUUUUACUUUUGGGACAAUGUACAAUAAUGUGCAAUGUUACAUUCUACAUUCUACAUUAGUUAAUCAUCGAAAUUCACGAAUUAUGCAUUUUAAUUCACAAAGCGAUAUAGGUAAAUCAUACUGUUUGGAACCUUCAGAUGGCGCAGAUGUAGCUUAUUCUUGACGCCAAUCAGAAUUUUAUCUUCCUAAGUUAAUUGAAACUCGGGAAUAUCUAUGAAAUAUACUUAUCAUUUCUAAAUAUAUGUAUUGUGGACACAAUAUUAAAUGAUUUAAUUUUAAUAUCUUAAUAAUACAAUUUUUCAACUCUGACGCAUUAUCGAAUUAAAUUAUCUAGUUAUUGCGUAGUUAUGUACGACAUUCACAAGUCCCACCGAACGAGACUAGAAAUUAUUUUGAAUCAAUAAAAUGUUAAAAAAUAAAAUUAUUGCAGUUGAAUGCUGUAAAUAUGUGCACAUCUGCGAAUCUUCAAGUUUUGUUCAAUUUGUAAAAAGUAUGAGUGUAAUAAUAAACAUUGUGGAGAAAGCAA